rnacentral:rRNA from 1 species
UACGAAGGGUGCAAGCGUUAAUCGGAAUUACUGGGCGUAAAGGGUGCGUAGGCGUUUCGUUAAGUCUGUCGUGAAAUCCCCGGGCUCAACCUGGGAAUGGCGAUGGAAACUGGGCAGCUAGAGUGUGUCAGAGGAUGGUGGAAUUCCCGGUGUAGCGGUGAAAUGCGUAGAUAUCGGAAGGAACACCUGUGGCGAAAGCGGCUCACUGGACCAUAACUGACGCUGAGGCACGAAAGCUAGGGGAGCAAACAGG